UUAAGUUAAUUUGAGUUGUAAAAAAUAACUUUGCUCAAAUUUGAGUACAAAGAUAUAGGCGACAAUUGCGUGCCAUUUGGAACUUCAGUUUUGCUAGUUGAUCGUGUUGUUUUGGUUGCAUGUGUUAUUUUAAUUCGAUCCGCUGAAAACUGUCUCGACUCCCGACUUUCAAAUUCCGGCUCAAUUGUCUCGACUGUGGGCUGUUCCUGGAGUCCGGUUGUUGUUUCGAAGACAGAAUGCUGACAUUGGAUGGUGUUUUCUGGCUGCUGUUAGCUUUCAGCUAUUGGAAAAGGUGCCCCGGGCGAUGCGACUCAGCCGAAGACUAAAUAAACCGGCUCAAAUGUCUCGACUCGGAUCGGACUGGAGGAUGUGGGCUGUUCCUGGAGCCCGGUGGUUGUGUCGAAGACAGAAUGCUGAUAUUGGAUGGCGCUUUCUGGCUGCUGUUGGCUUUCAGCUAUUGAAAAAGGUGCCCCGGGCGAUGCGAUUCAGCCAAGGACUAAAUAAACGCCAGUUUUUUUGGAGUGUACCAAUAUAACUUGGACAGAAAUUUAUUUCAAAAUCUGCAAGAUGUUAAGGCUGUCGUGAUACAUUAGAUUCUCGUGGAAACUUUUCCUACGCAAAGGUUCCGGCGUUCCCUGGCUGAGACUUUCGGAGCAGUGCCGCGCUCGGAGGCUUUUGGAUUCCAACGCUGCUGCUAACUGUGAUGGCAGUCCAAACGUACCAUAUAGCGGUGCCGGUUCGGCUGACUAUGAACUCGGAACGGCCACUUUCCGCAGCUAUUGUCGGUUUACGGGGUGCUUUCGAAACACGUGGCGUAUACCAGUUCAAAUCUUUCUUCGUGUUGAUGUUUUUGUUUGUGAAGUUUUCGUGUAAGAUACGAUAUAUGUUCCAAUAAGUAUU